UAGUAAUGGGAGAUUAAUAUAUUCAGUAUAGGAGAAUCUGUAAGACGCAACAUGAAACAACAAAUAAUUAUUUUCCUCUUCGCUACAAUGCUACUGGCCGUGUAUUGUGACCCAGCAGAUGAGUCAAACUAUUACCCCCCCUGUACAACCGACGCCGAGUGCGAUUGGAAGUGCAAAGAGGUCUGCGACCCUUCCAGGAUCAAGGGCCAUUGCCAGCAGAGCUAUUAUUGGAAUCAGAAAUAUUGUGUUUGCGAAAUAACCGUAAACAUAUAGAGAUUGUGUAGCGCAACGCAAUUAUAAGUAAAAGUGUGUAGAUAGGUCACCAAUCACCAACAUG